UUCCGCUGUGUUGCCAAAUUUUUAAGCAGUAUCGAAACGCGGCAGAUUUAAAAACAUGUCAAAAUAUGUUGUUUUACUUUACAGGUUCUAAAAGUGAAUCAAAUCUAUUUUUUCUAAUUUGAUAGUUGCUUGUAUAAUAUAAUAUAUUCCAGUUAGUUAUCCAGUAGAUAAGCUUUAAAACUCCUAACCUAACAUAAUUAGAUUCAAAUAUGAUUUUAUCGUUUUUAUUUCCAUUUUGGAAGAGGGAAUGAAGAAAAUUUACAGAUAUGACAAACAUCUAGCUAGAAGAUGGAAUCCUGCGUUCUUAAAAUAAAAAAAGCUAGUUCCAGAAGUAAGCUACCAAUAAUAAACUAGAGAAUGUAUUACAAGAAAGAACAACGCUAAUACUCAACAUAGCUCAAUUGCUUCAGAUAGAAAAAGAGGAGGAAAGGGUACAACACAAGCGUGCCAGAGAAAAUGAAAGGGCAGAAGAGAGACACAAAAUUCAUUGAUUUAUUAAAUUUACAAAUUAAAUUAUAC